rnacentral:rRNA from 1 species
CCUGGCUCAGAUUGAACGCUGGCGGCAUGCCUUACACAUGCAAGUCGAACGGUAACAGCACUUCGGUGGCUGACGAGUGGCGAACGGGUGAGUAAUACAUCGGAACGUGCCCGAGAGUGGGGGAUAACGCAGCGAAAGCUGUGCUAAUACCGCAUACGAUCUACGGAUGAAAGCAGGGGAUUCGCAAGGACCUUGCGCUCAUGGAGCGGCCGAUGGCAGAUUAGGUAGUUGGUGGGAUAAAAGCUUACCAAGCCGACGAUCUGUAGCUGGUCUGAGAGGACGACCAGCCACACUGGGACUGAGACACGGCCCAGACUCCUACGGGAGGCAGCAGUGGGGAAUUUUGGACAAUGGGCGAAAGCCUGAUCCAGCCAUGCCGCGUGCAGGAUGAAGGCCUUCGGGUUGUAAACUGCUUUUGUACGGAACGAAAAGAUCUCUUCUAAUAAAGGGGGUCCAUGACGGUACCGUAAGAAUAAGCACCGGCUAACUACGUG